UGGGGAAUAUUGCACAAUGGGCGCAAGCCUGAUGCAGCCAUGCCGCGUGUGUGAAGAAGGCCUUCGGGUUGUAAAGCACUUUCAGCGAGGAGGAAGGUGGUGAACUUAAUACGUUCAUCAAUUGACGUUACUCGCAGAAGAAGCACCGGCUAACUCCGUGCCAGCAGCCGCGGUAAUACGGAGGGUGCAAGCGUUAAUCGGAAUUACUGGGCGUAAAGCGCACGCAGGCGGUUUGUUAAGUCAGAUGUGAAAUCCCCGGGCUCAACCUGGGAACUGCAUUUGAAACUGGCAAGCUAGAGUCUCGUAGAGGGGGUAGAAUUCCAGGUGUAGCGGUGAAAUGCGUAGAGAUCUGGAGGAAUACCGGUGGC
rnacentral:rRNA from 1 species